rnacentral:lncRNA from 1 species
GGCCGGUCUCGCCCGUCCACUGACUAACCCCUUCACCCCAGUUUCGCCCCGCCUCUGGCCGAGCUCCGGUACAAACUCUGCCGCCGAGGGCUCGGCUUUCACAUUCCCGCCUCCGCCCUCCGUCUCCCUCCCAACCCUAAAGCACUUCCUGCAAACUGCCGGCUGCGCGGCUGCUUUCCUUUCCGUUGCGGGUGCGGCACCUCCCUGUACCCCGGCUCUCUCUGCCUAGCCUGCUCCAUUUUACAGACGGGAAACUCAGGGUCGACCCCUUAGGGCCACUGGAGUUUUCCCCAAAAAUGAAGCACGAGAACUGCCAUCCCGGAAGGCUAAAUCUCGACUUUGCACGAUUUAAGCUAUUUCAUCACCAGCCUACUAGGACCCUGCGAUCCCUCUGUUCUCCAACAGCCCAGGGAAGCAGUUACCCCAAGUCAUACCAGAGAUUCCUUGAGAUUUGAAAAGACUCCAGAUGUGGCUCAGGCUGACCUUGAACUCAUGAUCCUACUGCAUCCUUCACUACAUCUGGCUCUAUUUUAUCUUCGGAGAUAGUCUCAUAUGGCCCAGCCUGGCCUGGAAUUACUCAGUAGCUGAGGCUGCCCCUGAACUCCCUGAUACUUCUCCCUCUACCUCCCUCCAUGGAAAAGUGGAGAUUUUGAGAGCUGCAGGUUUGAUCAAGAUCUCCCAGCAGUUAUGAGAAGAGUUAGGGCCAAACCCCAGAUCUCAG